GGCGCGGCUUCAAGCCCCGGGCUGAGCGCUGGACCUCUUAGACCAGGGACAUUCGCAGGUCAGGCUUGUGUCUGUCGUCUGUCGGUGCAGAGGCUCUCUGGAAAAAGGUUGUGGGCUUGCUGAAGAGAGCAGGUGCUGCAUAAAUGCUCCCUGAGUUGAGCACAGUGGAGUCGUAGAAGGUGAUGGAUCUCCAAGCUCUGAGUUCAGAAACUCAGUCCUCCACCUUGUGGGAACCAGUAGCAGCGCUGUUAAGAUAAAGGAAAGGACCUUGUUCUGUGUCAUCCCUUCUACCUAGCCUGCUGUAGCUAAG